CGAGCGCACCCUUGUCCUCAGUUACCAGCACGUUAUGGUGGGCACUCUGGGGAGACUGCCGGUGACAAACCGGAGGAAGGUGGGGACGACGUCAAGUCAUCAUGGCCCUUACGGCCAGGGCUACACACGUGCUACAAUGGUGCAUACAGACGGUUACCAAGCCGCAGGGUGGAGCUAAUCUGAGAAAGUGCAUCGUAGUCCGGAUUGGGGUCUGCAACUCGACCCCAUGAAGACGGAAUCGCUAGUAAUCGUGGAUCAGAAUGCCACGGUGAAUACGUUCCCGGGCCUU
rnacentral:rRNA from 2 species